rnacentral:rRNA from 1 species
UACUCCUACGGGGAGGCAGCAGUAGGGAAUCUUCCGCAAUGGGCGAAAGCCUGACGGAGCAAUGCCGCGUGAGUGAUGAAGGUUUUCGGAUCGUAAAGCUCUGUUGCCAGGGAAGAACGCUUGGGAGAGUAACUGCUCUCAAGGUGACGGUACCUGAGAAGAAAGCCCCGGCUAACUACGUGCCAGCAGCCGCGGUAAUACGUAGGGGGCAAGCGUUGUCCGGAAUUAUUGGGCGUAAAGCGCGCGCAGGCGGUCAUGUAAGUCUGGUGUUUAAUCCCGGGGCUCAACCCCGGAUCGCACUGGAAACUGCGUGACUUGAGUGCAGAAGAGGAGAGUGGAAUUCCACGUGUAGCGGUGAAAUGCGUAGAGAUGUGGAGGAACACCAGUGGCGAAGGCGACUCUCUGGGCUGUAACUGACGCUGAGG